rnacentral:rRNA from 1 species
UACAGAGGUCCCAAGCGUUGUUCGGAUUCACUGGGCGUAAAGGGUGCGUAGGUGGCAUAGAAAGUUUGAUGUGAAAGCUUCGGGCUCAACUCGGAAACUGCAUUGAAAACUACUAAGCUAGAGGGUCGGAGGGGAGACUGGAAUUCUCGGUGGAGCAGUGAAAUGCGUAGAUAUCGAGAGGAACACCGGUGGCGAAAGCGAGUCUCUGGACGAUACCUGACACUGAGGCACGAAAGCUAGGGGAGCAAACAGG